rnacentral:rRNA from 1 species
UACGAAGGGGGCUAGCGUUGUUCGGAAUUACUGGGCGUAAAGCGCACGUAGGCGGACCAGAAAGUUGGAGGUGAAAUCCCAGGGCUCAACCUUGGAACUGCCUUCAAAACUAUUGGUCUGGAGUUCGAGAGAGGUGAGUGGAAUUCCGAGUGUAGAGGUGAAAUUCGUAGAUAUUGGGAAGAACACCGGUGGCGAAGGCGGCUCACUGGCUCGUAUCUGACGCUCAGGCGCGACAGCGUGGGGAUCAAACAGG